rnacentral:lncRNA from 1 species
AAUUUUGUGAAAUACAUGAAAAGAGAAAGUAGAUGAAUUUUUGAUAUUUUGGAGAUUUGGAUUUACAGGCAUUUAGUUUCACUCAGAUUCGAUAUGUGUUCUAAGCCCUAAUUGGGUCUGGGUGUCACACCUUCGGUCUAGAGGUAAAGAGUUGAUCCCGUGAGAUUUAGUGUUUCAGGGGUUAGACAUUGCUAACUCUUUGAAAGUUUUGAAGGACACUGAUUAUGUAGGCAUACCUGCAACAAAUGUCUUAGUGGUAUAAAGAAAGGUUCUACCAUUUUGUUGAGACAUCAAUGUACUAACAAUUACCCGUUCUCUUUUGAUACAUCUGAUUACACCUAACAGAGCACUAUAAAGAAAUUCCAAUUGGAAGGAGAAACCUGGAUACAUGUAUUAGUUAAUUAUAAAGAUAAUCAGUAAAUAGAAAGGUGCAAAAGUUAAUAAAGUAUAUAAAUACCUGUUUUAAGCAAAGUUAGCAGUCUCAAUUGGCGUCCUUUCUGACCUAAUGCUGAAAGGCCAGUCGCGGUAUCUGCACCUGCUAUUUCCAUAGCUACUCUAGCUUCUGAAGGAAACAACCGUACAAAUGCCACUGCAAAAUAUUAAGAAGCUGUUAUGGCACUCAUCCAGGAUAGGCAUAAAUUUUUUUGUACCUCAUUACUUUUGGGGCAAAAAACAAGAAAGUUUUGAUGACAAAGUCUUGUGCAAUUAUUCAUCAAAAACCAGUUCAGUGCAAACCACGAAGCCUAGAUCAGAUGGAUUCAGAAUUCUCCAUUCCAAAAAAGGGGAUCAAAUCACAUGACUGGCCAACAGUGUGCCCCAAGCAAUGAGCGCAUGUGUGUUUGAGAUGCUAAAAUGAAGGGACUCACAAACUCUUGAGAAGAUGAUUUACUAAUACCAGUAAAGGAAUAUCACCUCUAUUUUCCAUAUGAAGGGACAAACAAACAGUAGAAAGAAGUGUGCAUAGCACAAACUCUGAGAAGGUGAUGAACUAAUACAAGUAAAGAAAUAUCACCUUUUUUUUCCAGGUAGUUCAGCUUCCUUUGGAAAUCAUCAUCCAUCACCUCUGAUGACAUUGCCAAGUUCUCAGACAUGGAGUGCCUUCUCAUCUCUCUCUCAAGGACGUCAAUGCAUAACUGGUCUUUGUUAGUUUCCUGCCCCUGCUUUGUAGCUUCAAGAUAAUCCUUUCGCCUUGUCACUCUCCGACAGAUUGCUACAGCUGUUUGCCAAUCUGAUGUAGUUUCUGAUGCGCAUGCUCCCUUGCUCAGCAGAGUCACCAUCACUUCUGGCUCAUUACGCCUUGCAGCCACAUGAAGCACCGUACGUCCUCUUGCAUCCUUAAGAUUGAGACCAGCCAAGUCCAUAUUGAGCACUUCCUUAAAAACCUUAGGGUUGCAGUAGGCAGCAGCAUAGUGCAGAGCGUAAGCAUCAUCCAGAGUGACAUUAGAUACAUCCAGAAGAAGCGUCAACAGUUCAAAAUCAUCAGUGUCCAGAGCCUUGUGGAUUCUUCUGACUGUUUUUUCACGCAAAGGAUCCACUUCUUUUGUGUUAGCUUCAGACUCCUGGUUAGAUUUGACACGGAGUGAUUUGAUUUCACUUGAAACUUCAUCAGGAAGCUCUUUCUCGAGACAAACAUUGUCAAGAUUUGACUUUGCAAUUCUCUGGAUGCAGACAGAACGGAGUUGGUUCAGUUGGCAAUGCAAGGCAGCCACGAGAAUUGGGAUUACAUUUUCCACGAGAGCCUUCUCAACCAUGCUCCGAAGCCAAAGCUACACGGACAGAUAGAGUUUUGAUUCAGAAUAAUAUAUUCAAAAUUCAAAUACCCCAUAGUGGGUAAUUAUUGGUAAACAUCAUAAAGCAUAUAUAAAAUGCUACAAGCACAGAUAGGGUUUUGAUUCAGAAUAAGAUAUUCAAAAUUCAAAUACUUAAAGAGGAUAAUCUGUGCAGGAAAAUAAUAAUGAGGGGGAAGUUCAGUGUCAUGCUUAUUAAACCUUAAUGCCGAUGGACCAAUGUUCAGAGACAUAAGCUCGCCUGCACAAGAUGUUAUUCUACAGCAUUAACAAUUUGCUAGGUUAUAGCCUGGACGGGAAAAAAGAGAAUCUCUCGCAUUCACUGUUGAGAGCUUGAAAGCAUGAGAGAACUAACCAUCAAGUGAGUGAAGAAAAUACGGAUAAAACAACCUAAAUAACAGAACAGUCAAGCCAGAGCAUGAACUGACACCCACCCAAAUGAAAAUUGGUGGUCAAGUAAAAUUUUUUCCAGACUCAUGUAAUCUAUAUACCUUUUUGGUUAGUUUUUAUCAUUCUUGGGAGUCAGUGUCAGCAAGCAUUGAUUCCUUUAGUUCGCUGCCCAUCAUCAUCACUUUUGUCUCUUUCAAAAUAAAACAACAGACUCUUGCAAGAUAAGACUAAGUUUUGGGCUCUACGGUAUCUACACUUCUUAACAAGCUAAUUUUGGAUCUACUACAAUGCCUAAUAUUGGGAACCACCGAAGUUGCUUCACAACUGAAAUUGAUUUCAAUCCCAUAUAUGUUAAAACUAUACCAAGAAGCAUAAAUUUAAGCAAUACAAAUAGCAGGGAAGCACAAUUACCUGCAAAAGAAAAACGAGUUCUUUCAUCUGAAAAGCAGCGGAAGCAUACAUCAACUCAAUAGCAUAAUUAAUAGCAGGAGGGCAAGCAAAAUGAGCACAAGCAUCAUCAACACACGUGGACACUUCUGGAGGAGAUUCCUUAAUCAUUCCAACGUAAACAAGCAUCAUCAACACACGCGGACACUUCUGGAGGAGGUGCCUUAAGCUUCCCAGUGUAAAGACGAUGCAGGAUAUCAUUGAAAGCUUCAUACCCAACCUUCCCAUGAGGCACCAAAUCAGUCAAAAGAUACUUGGGUUUCCCCUCACUGACAGAACCAUCAUUUCUCAAAUUAAAAAGCCGACGAAAAAAUUGACUGAGCUCAGACAAUACGCUGCGAUUAACCGCCACUGAUUUGCCCUCAACAACAAUCUCAGCUUCAAGCCAUGUCUCUUUGGGAUUGGUGCUUUGCAUCCUUAAGUUCAAAUUAUCAAGAUCACAAGUGCCUGUUGAUUGAUUAGUGGACCAACAAGUCAGAUAUGAUGAGACAAAACUCAAAGAUGCUGACUUUUCGUUCGCAUUUUCCAUGAUACCAUCAAGAACCAUAUUCAAACUGAAUCUAUAUAUAUAUAUAUAUAUAUAUAUAUCAAGAAAGAAUAAUAUCAAUCACAAUGAAAGGCUUAUAACUGAAGCUUGAAUCGCGAUCUACCUAUUAGGUUUAAAGAUGAAAGUUUUGACCCAAGUUCACGGGUCGCGAAGGGGUAAUUUCCAGUUUUCUACCCUGAGGUUUGUCGUUUCUCCACUAUGGCACGUGGGUGAUGUGGCACUAAAUGUGUAGACGUUACUCGUGGUCCGGGUGCUUUUAAGUAUAAAAUAGUGCCUCUUUUAACAGCUUAAGUUUUUGGGAGGAUUGGUAAGCGGCUUAAGUGAAUAUAUAUAUAUAUAUAUAUAUAUCAAGAGAGAAUACUAUCAAUCACAAUGAAAUGCUUAUAAGUUAUAACUGAAGCUUGAAUCGCGAUCUACCCAUUAGCUUUAAAGAUGAAAGCUUUGACCCAAGUUCACAGGUCGCGAAGGGGUAAUUUACAGUUUCCUCCCCUGAGGUUUGGCGUAUCGCCACUAUGAUAGAAAGUAUCACCGUAUAUCCGAUUUUACCCCCGAUUGUUUGUAGACUGUUUUGUUGACCGUAUGUUGACUACUGAAAAGACAAAGAUACCCCUCACGCUAAAUCAAGAACUGAAAGCUCAAAUUUUCGGCUGCUGUGAUGUGAUGUGCCUUCGCGUGGAAGGGUUAAGUACUUUCGAAAUGACAAAACACCACGGACAAUGACAUUACCGAUUCAUUAAAAAAAAAUAAUAAUAAAUUAAAUACAAGUAUACAACUCUAUUACUUUGCCAGCUAUAAAUUGUUACAUUUCCAAACAAAAAAUAAAUAGAUAGAUAGAAUAAAAAAAAUAAAAACACAUUUCCUAUUUGUUUCAUUUGCUUCUCAAGUUAUACACAGUAUCAAAAUUGUAAACACUGGAAUCAAACCAUGUAUUCACAAAUCACAAAGGUCAAAAUAUAUAAAACAGAUCAACAACAAUUUAUGCGCCGCGUUGAAAGUUUUCUCGUCUAGGACUGGCAAGCACCCGAAUGGCUAGAUCACCAACAACAAUUUAUGAGCCACUGUGUCUUGGUUUCACUGAAUUGCUGGAUGAUUAGCUUGGCCUUUGAAGCUGAAAUUUUCACCUACAAGAUCUGAGAAAAUAAUUAAAUGAAGUAAUAUGACAUACAAUAAAUUCAACAAAAUAAAAAGGACAAAUUGAACAAUUUAGCAAUGUUGAAAUUACCAAAUCAGUAAGCAGAACAAUUACUUGAUAAGACUUUUGACUUGUCUAACCCAAAAUUGUACCCAGUUCUACACUCUACUAUGAAUCUUAUGAAGCCAAACUUAGUUUAACCUAACAACACUAUUAACUCAGUUAAAAGAAGCUGCUGUACGGCCAAGGCGUUGACUUGUCUAACCCAAAAUUGUACCCAGUUCUACACUCUACUAUGAAUCUUAUGAAGCCAAACUUAGUUUAACCUAACAACACUAUUAACUCAGUUAAAAGAAGCCGCUGAAAUAACUGAAAUUUAAGGGGAAAAAAAACUUGAUAAAACUAAAAGUAACUUAUAAUAGUCUAUUGCAGCCGCAUACAAAACAUGAAGAUAAAUAAACAUGGGGUCUAUUUUCUUGACACUACCAAGUUUGGGAUUCAAAAUCACCAUAUUAUGAUAAUAAUGUGUUGUGAUUCCUGAGACUGCUUAUAUGUUGGCAAUCGUAGUCAAAGAUGGUUGUCAAACAUCCUUGCAAAUCAAGAAGCUAAUAAAGACCAGAUCGCACUACAUUAACAUAUAUCAGUUCUUUGAUAAAAAGAUAUUGAAUGUUAUACACUCUAAUCCCAAGUCCUGAAACAUAAAACAAAAGUUCACUUCACACCCUCAUAAAGCUAGACAGCUACAGAAAAGGAGAAUAGACAUUGGAUAUAGGUCAAUAAAUCAUUAAGCUAAUUAAUGCACAUGAAGGAAUCUGUUAGAGCUGGUUGUAUAGCCCUUAUCAGAGAACUCACAGAAGCAUUCAAUUUCCUAAAAGGAGAUAGCUUCAAACAUAAACAUUUUGAUAGGCAGCAAUACACAUAAAAUAGCUUCACUUGCCAUUAAGGAAUAUGCUAGUAUUGACUUACAAGAUAGCAACUGAUAAUUCAUUCAGUUGCACAUACAUAUUCCUAAAGUCUUAACUUUCAAAUCGAUUGCUGCUCAUUCCUUUAUUUAGAAACAUACGCGAUGGUGAUUAAUCCAGAUCUCUACGAUGCCGUUCAAUUUUCAUAUUCUCAUAAUCAUAAAUUCAUUUUAAGAAUAUCAACUCCACUAUUAAGAACACAAGCUUGAUCAAACAAUACUAUUAGCUCAUAAGUUCAUCAAUGCCAGCAGCUGCUUAAAUAAAUUAACAAACUGCUGUACCGUACAUCCGCCUUGGCCGUACAGCAGAUUUGCCCUCAACAACAAUCUCAGCUUCAAGCCAUGUCUCUUUGGGAUUGGUGCUUUGCAUCCUUAAGUUCAAAUUAUCAAGAUCACAAGUGCCUGUUGAUUGAUUAGUGGACCAACAAGUCAGAUAUGAUGAGACAAAACUCAAAGAUGCUGACUUUUCGUUCGCAUUUUCCAUGAUACCAUCAAGAACCAUAUUCAAACUGAAUCUAUAUAUAUAUAUAUAUAUAUAUAUAUAAAACCAGGGCUUAAGGUAUAUCCAGACUACGUGUGUUAGGGGCCGCACCCUUGUGGUGGCUCUAUCCCACGCACGUGGGUGAUGUGGCACUAAAUGUGUAGACGUUACUCGUGGUCCGGGUGCUUUUAAGUAUAAAAUAGUGCCUCUUUUAACAGCUUAAGUUUUUGGGAGGAUUGGUAAGCGGCUUAAGUGAAUAUAUAUAUAUAUAUAUAUAUAUCAAGAGAGAAUACUAUCAAUCACAAUGAAAUGCUUAUAAGUUAUAACUGAAGCUUGAAUCGCGAUCUACCCAUUAGCUUUAAGUAACAAACGGUAUACAAACGGCGGGGGAGAAAAGUGGAGAUACGCUAAUUCUUCCUAUUAAAAUGGAGUGAUCCUAGAAAAUGGAGUGAUCUUAGAAAGGGCAUCUAAAUGAGAAGUCAAAAGAGCUGUGAAGAUUUUUAUUUAGAGGAUAUAAUUUUAUAUGUAAGAUUCUAUAAACUAAUCUCAUAAAUUAUUAUUUAUUAGUUUGUAUUGUUGCACUAAACACAUUAUAUUUGUGAAUAUAAUCACUCUAUUUCUCCAUCUCUCACUACUUUCUAAAUUUUUCUUGAUUUUUUUAAGGAACGAAGAAUGCCGAUGAGGAUGAUGACGGCCCUGAACGAUUGUCAGAAGCCAUGUCCUGGCAAAAUGCCUUCCGCACGUGGAAGCAAGCCCUUUUAAGUUUCUGCGCUUCCGGAGUACCAAAUUCCAGAAGAGAAGCAUCAGACCAAUCACAAUUCAUAAACUCCUCAAUGACUUUGGAGGAGUGAGGGAAGUAGCGUCGACCCGUCUCGACUGCAAUCAUAGAAAGUUCAGUAAAUGCUCUAAGAAAAGACCAUUUUGUUGAGAUAUCAAUGUAAUAAAAAUUAACCUCUCUCUUUGGAUACAAAAACUAAUAAGGUAUAUAAAUACCUGUUUUAAGCAGAGCCUACAGUCUCUUGGCUUGCAUAGAGGGUGUUUCAUUCAAAUCAACCUCCUUUAAGUUCCCACUUGAUCCUUUUGAUUUUGAUGCUGAAAGGCCAGUACAAAAAUUGGUGGCAUCUGCAUCUGCUAUGUCCAUAGCUAUUAUAGCUUCAGAAGGAAACAGGCACCGCGCAAAAGACACUGCAAAACAUUAAGAAGCUUUUAUGGCACUCAUACAUGAUAGGAAUAAAUUAUUUCGUAUCUCAAUUCUUUUUUUUUUUUUGUGGGGGGGGGAGUAUUGACAACAAAGACUGGGCUGUAACACUGAGACUAAAUCAUUGUGCAAUUAUUUAUUAAAACUAGUUCAGUCGAAACCCCCAUGCCCAGAACAUACGGAUACACAAUUGCCUAUCCAAGAUAGUGGAUGGAAUUAUGGCUGGCUAACAGUUUGCCACAAGCAAUUACUGGCUUCCAAAAACAAAUGCGAUUUGUUCUGGAAACUGUUUUCCAUUACAUUCUGCUAUAGGUACCGAGAAUGAUAAAAUGGAUCAUUCCAGAUGCUUCGGAGUUCUAGUUGCUGAAAAUAUUCACUUCCAAAUAACAAAAAUAACAGUUCAUCAAAAAGUCAUGAUGCUAGCACAAGUGUAGACUGUGUAGUUAUCCCAUUUACAGCAAUGUUUGAGAUGCUAAGAUGAAGGAACAAACAAACAGUAGAAACAAGUGUGCGAUGCACAAACUCUGAGAAGGUGAUGAACUAAUACCAGUAAAGAAAUAUCACCUCUAUUUUCCAGAUAGUUCAGCUUCAUUUGGAAAUCAUCAGCCAUCACCUCUGAUGACAGUGCCAAGUUCCCAGACAUGGAGUUCCUUCUCAUUUCUCUCUCAAGGACAUCAAUGCAUAACCGGUCUUUGUUAGUUUCCUGCCCUUGCUUUGUAGCUUCAAUAUAAUCCUUUCUCCUUGUCAUUCUCCGACAGAUUGCCACAGCUGUUUGCCCAUCUGAUGUAGUUUCUGAUGCGCAUCCUCCCUUGCUCAGCAGAGUCACCAGCACUGCUGGCUCCUUACGCCUUGCAGCCACAUGAAGCACCGUAUGUCCUCUUGCAUCCUUAAGAUUGAGACCAGCCGAGUCCAUAUUGAGCACUUCCUUAAAAACCUUAGGGCUGCAGUAGGCAGCAGCAUAGUGCAGAGCAUAGGCAUCAUCCAAAGUGACAUUAGAUUCAUCCAGAAGAAGCUUCAACAGUUCAAAGUCAUAAGAGUCCAGUGCCUCGUGGAUUCCUCUGACUCUUGUUGCAUGCAUAGGAUCCACUUCUGCUAUAUUCGCCUCACACUCCUGGUUAGAUUUGACACGGAGUGAUUUGAUUUCACUUGAAACUUCAUCAGGAAGCUCUUUCUCGAGACAGACAUUAUCAAGAUUUUACCUUACCACUCUCUGGAUGCAGGGAGAGCGGAGCUGGUUCAGUUGGCAAUGGAAGGCAGCCACAAGAAUUGGAAUUACAAUGUAGCUUAGAGAGACCUUUAAAUGUUAGUAUAAUCAUUAGCAAAAAUAGAUUUUUGAGUAUGAUACAUCAUCCGAAGAUAGCUCAUGAGAUUCAGAGUUUGUGUAAUAUUUACACAUACACAUAUAACAUUAUAUUUAUUUAGUGAUUGAUUAAUUUUAAAAUUUUAGACGUAAUUUAUUGCAUUCUUUCUCUAGCUCAUAAGUUGAUAAAAAAAUUUCUUUAAGUAAUGUAUGACAUAUGAAGUACUAUUUUUAUCUUUAAUUUGGAAUAAGUAUAACUGACUAAGACAACUAUAAUGGAAUAAAUUUUUGAAAAGGUUUAACAUUAUAUUAUUAAGGAUGAGGUUGUUUAUAAUUUUGUACUCUCAAAAAAAUUAUAAACACCGAUGGUUGAAUGAGAUUUUGAAUUAUUAAAAUAUUAAUAAUUCAAUUUCCUGUUAGUGACAAACUUGCAUAUAUAACAAUUCAGAAAAUAUAUGUUACAAGUUUUUUAACAUCCAUUCACUUACACUCAUUUGACAUAAAAAUAUUUUAUCAUUAUAUCAUUUAAGGGUGAGGUUGUUUACAAUUUUGUAUUCUAAAAAAUACUAUAACACUGAAGGGUGAAUGAGAUUUUGAAUUAUUAAACAAUUCAUAAUUCAAUUUAUUGUUAGUGAUGAACUUGUUUAUAUAACAAUUCAAAAAAUAUAUAUUACAAGUUUUUUAACAUCCAUUCACUCACUCAUUUGACAUAAAAUUAUUUCAUCAUAAAUCCUAGUUGUGUUAAUUUCCCACAUUCAUUAAUGUUCAUUAAUCUCACUUUACAUUUUUCUUCAACAAUUAUCAUAAAUAUAUACAAAAUAAAGUAAUGAUUUAGUGGACAAUUGUCUAUAUAGAACUGUCUAGUUAAUACACAAUUUAAAUACUAUUUUAUAGAGAAUCGCAGAAUUUUACCACAUGUUCAGCAGUUCAGGUGCUAUGAUGGACACUUGUACUCACUAGAUCAUCACACAACAAAAUAAUCAAAAGAAAUUUAUUAGUAUUAAUCAAUGCUAUUUUUAUUAUGUUGUGGUCCAAAAAUGGCCAGUGAAUAAUGAGGAUGGCAAAAUUACAAUAGCCAAUUCUAGCGGCCGUUGAGCAUGAGAAUUUGGGUAUAAAAUUAAUUAAAUUUAAAAAAUUGGUAAUUUACAAAUUUUGUAUUUUCUUUUCUUAAUUAUUAUUAUAUGGGUGAUGUGCACCUCAAGUCACAUUUAUUAUAUUAUAAAUUUAAAAUUUAAUAUCUACAAUUGAAAAUUUUAUAUUUCUUCGGGAGGGUAAUGAGCAACAAAUUUUUAGAUAAAAAUUCUGUUAAAAAGUUCUACAUAUAUAUAAUUCAUAUCCAUCCAUUUCUAAUUUCAAUUUCAAUGAAAAUUCUGCAUAUUCAUCUAUUUCGAAGAACAUUAAUGUCAUCUCAACCAAUUUCUGUAUGAGAGUCAGUACUGUAAAAUACAGGUACAAAUGCCUUUUCUUUCCCCCCUUUUUCUCCCUGAAAGAAGUUACACAUGACUCGAGUUUUCAGAUGAAGAUAUGGAGAUUUUUUUUUUUUGAAAAAAAAAGCUAUAUUAUAAAGUGAUUUAAACAGAUAAAAUAAACAAAUAAUUAACUGACAUAUUUUUCCCCUCUAAAAUUAGAAAAUUCUGUCAUUUAGUAUAUUACAUUCCAAAUACCUGGGAAAAUACAACAAUGCAAGCUUGAAGUUCCUCUGCUAUUUUACAACAUAGCCAUAACAUAGGCUCUAAGAGUAUCUCUCCACAAGUAACAAUCAAACUCAGUAAAACUCUCUUAGUUUCCUAUAAAUGAAUACAAAGACAAGCAGCUAAGCAUCACCUUUUCCUACCCUUACACUUUACUCCUUCCUUUGGAGAAGAUGACGAUGACGUGGAUGACGACAAACCUGAACGAUUUUUCUCAGCCAUGUCCUUGUAAAAUGCCUUCUUCACGUCUUCUUUGAGUUCCAUGAAGCGUGUCCUUUUGAGUUUCUGCUCUUCAGGAGUACCCUUUUCGAGGAAGGAAGCAUCGGACCAAUCACAAUCCAGAAACUUAUCAACCACUUCCGAGCAACGAGUACGAGGGAAGUAGCGUCGACCCGUCUACACUACAAUCAUAGAAAGUCCUGUAAAUGCUCUAAGAAAAUGUCUCCAGUGGUGCAAAGGUUCUAACAUUUUGUUGAGAUAAAUACCUGUUUUAAGCAGAGCUUGCAGUCUUAAUUGGAGUCUCUUGGGUACAGCAGUCUUUCUCUAGCUCAUAAGUUGAUAAAAAAAUUUCUUUAAGUAAUGUAUGACUAAUAAACCUCCUUUAAGUUCCCACUUGAUCCUUUUGAUUUUGAUGCUGAAAGUCCAUCAUAAAAAUUGGUGGCAUCUGCAUCCGCUCUAUCCGUAGCUACUCUAGCUUCAGAAGGAAACAACAACCGUGCAAAAGCCACUGGAAAACAUUAAGAAGCUGUUAUGGCGCUCAUCCACGACAGGGGAAAGAGUAUUGACAACAAAGACUAGGCUGUAACACUGAGACUAAAUCCUUGGGCAAUUAUUUAUUAGAAACUAGUUUAGUCCAGAUCAUAUGGAUGCACAAUUGUCUAUCCAAAAAAGUGGUUGGGAUCACGAUAGGCUAACAGUCUGCUCCAAGCAACUAGUGGCUUGCAAAGACAAAUUCAAAACACAUGCAACUUGCUUUGGAAACUGUUUUCUAUGACAUUCUUUUAUAGGUAUUGAGAAUCAUAAAAUGGAUCAUUCAAGAUGCUUCGGAGUUCUAGUUGCUGAAAAUAUUCACUUCCAAAGAACAAAAAUAACAGUUUAUCGAAAUGCCUAUGAAGGGACAAACAAACAGUAGAACCAAGUGUGCUAUGCACAAACUCUGAGAUCCGACCAAAACACAAAGUACAAAGACAUCGCUGUAAUAAAAAUGUCAUGGACGGUUGAUAUGGCCCUGCAUAAGUUGGUGAUUUAAGAGAAAUGAUUAAACUUUACCGAUUAAAAAAGAAAUGACAAUUGAACUAAAAUGAAAAUAUUCAAUCAUCUGUUACUCCACAUCGACCCGCUGUAUGUUGGAGAAACUGGAAAAUGCGAAAAGGGGCAUUUCAUUUUUUUUCUUAAAAAAAUUGAGAGAGAGAGAAACACUAAUCUUUUAAAUGAAGGAAGUACAUGUUUGUUGAAAAAUCAUGCACGUGGCAUGCAAAUUCAAGAAAGCAUGCAAUUUUUCAAAGAGCUACCAAACAGUUGAAGAAAAAAUAAAAAGUUGGUAAAUUUCUCAAAUUUGCCAAAUGGACACCAUUGACAUAUUUGCAUGGGUUAGGUGGAAUAGUGCUUGGGUUAGGUGAAAUAGUACUUGGGUUAGGUGGAAUAGUACUAGCUUCAAGCCUAUAAAUAGAGAGCAUUUCUUCAUUCCAUAUCAUCCCAAAAUUGUUAAGCUUAUAAGUUUCUAAGCUUUUGAGAGAAGUGAGAGAAGUAUGUCUGGGGAAUUUAUCUUUCCUGCAGAGUGUGAGAGUACUGGGUAUAUUUGAGUUUCUGGGAAGUGAAAUUCGUUACUCAAAUAUUUGUACUAUAUUAAUUAUUAAUAAUACAAUUAUUCUUUUUUGCCUCUGUGGAUGUAGGUUUAAUUACUGAACCACGUAAUUCUUGUGUCCUUUAUUUUUCUAUAAUUAUUUGGUGUGCUUGAUUCCGCAUUCCGGGUAGAACAAGUGGUAUCAGAGCCGACGGUUCGUACUUGGGGGAUACGGUAUUGUUUACGUAUACGGUACUAUUCACGUAUAUGGUACUGUUCACGAAUACGGUGGAGAUGGCCAUUUGUACUUGGGAGACAGUCUAUUGUAAGUAGUGUGUAUUUUUGCAUGUCUAGAAAAGUUCUGUCAACAAAGGCGAUAAGAGUCUAAGGAUUCUGGUUUUUAAUUAGGACUGAGUUCCCGUCCAGUCUCCUGGGAACUUUCCUAGUGCAUUUAUUCACGCGAAAUUAACAUCAUAGAGACUGUUUUUCAAGUGGAAAUAGUUCGUUGAGAAAAUAGUAGAAGGUGAAACUUCCAGAAUUGGGGAGAGAUCUACCGAGACUAUUUCAGGAGACACUUCAGGUGGGAGGCAAAAUCAACUUCGGCAUAUGGAGGCGCGAAGUUAUGGACGCCCUUAUUCAAAUCGAUCUGGAUGUUGUUCUGAAAAAUAAAAGACACUUGUAUGAUGAAGAAAUUUGGGAUCGUAUGAAUAAAAAAGCAUGUGGUCAUAUCAGAUCUUGUUUGACCAAGGAGGUGAAAUACUUGGUGAAGGAUGAGGAGUGUGCGAUGACUUUGUGGCGUACAUUGGAGGAGAAGUACUUGCUAAAAAGUCCUAAAAAUCGUCUUCAUGCAAUGAGCCAAGUAUAUGGCUUUCGAAUGAAGCAUGGGGUGUCAAUUUACGAUCAUGUCUCAAGAUUUGAAAAAUUACUUGCUGAUUUGAAGAAUCUUGAUGAAGAUAUUAAGGAUGAAGUCAAGGCUAUGAUUCUGUUACACUCACUACCAGUGGAAUAUAGCCAUUUUGUGACUACCUUGAUAUAUGGGAAAAGUGUGAUCAUCUUCAAAGAUGUUUGCACAGCAUUGACUAACUUGGAGAUUCGGAAUAAUAAUAAAAAUUCUGAACGAGCAUCGUCUGAAGCUUUGGUGAGCAGAGAUUGGGCGAUGGAGAAAAAGAAAAAGCGUGGUGGAAAGAAUUCUCGAUCCAAAUCGAGAAGUAGAAAUAUAGCUCGAGACGAGUGUGCCUUUUGUCAUGAAAAGGGUCAUUGGAGGAAAGAUUGUCCAAAGGCUCAAAAGAGAGAUAGGAAGAAACCAGCAGCAAUAAAUAUGGCACGGAAAGAUGAGGACUCUGAUUAUUCACUAAGUAUUACUCCUGCAGCAUACGUGGCUAGUUCGAGCGAGUGGAUACUUGAUAUUGGAGCAACAUAUCAUUUGUGUCCUAUUAAGGAAUGGUUUACGGAUUUUCGUAAUCUGGAAUCCGGUGCAGUUGUGAUGGGGAAUAAUCAACCUUGUCGCACAAUGGGGAUAGGAACAAUUCGGCUCAAAAUGUUUGAUGGAAUGGUCAGAGAACUCAAAGAGGUUAGAUUUGUUCCAGCUUUAAAGAAAAAUCUAAUUUAUGUGGGUGCUUUGGAAGCUAAAGGCUACAAGGUUACCAUUGAAGAUGGCACAAUGAAGUUUACACAUGGGGCUAUGGUGAGUCUACAAGGGGUUCGACGUCACAGUUUGUACUAUAUAAAGGGAGAUACAACUGAUGAAGCAAAUAUUGUUGAGGCGCACAGUGACACCACCAAGCUAUGGCAUUUACGAUCGGGAGAUUCUGGCGAGAAAUCUUUGCAAACUCUGAUGAGGCACUGACUCUUAAAAGGUACCAAAACCUGUAAAUUAAAUUUCUGUGAGCAUUGUGUAGUAGGCAAGAAAACAAGGGUCAAGUUUGGUACAGUUAAUCACGAUACUCGUGAGAUCCUUGAAUAUGUUCAUAGUGAUGUAUGGGGACCAACCAAGACUGCAUCAAUUGGUGGAAGCCAUUAUUUUGUUACAUUUGUUGAUGAUUUCUCUAGACGUGUGUGGGUGUACACCAUGCNNNNNNNNNNNNNNNNNNNNNNNNNNNNNNNNNNNNNNNNNNNNNNNNNNNNNNNNNNNNNNNNNNNNNNNNNNNNNNNNNNNNNNNNNNNNNNNNNNNNNNNNNNNNNNNNNNNNNNNNNNNGUACGGUGUAUGUUAUCUAAUGCUGGUUUAGAUAAAAAGUUUUGGGUUGAAGCUGUGAGUUGCGCAAGUCACUUGGUAAACCGGUUGCCUUCUGCUGCAAUUGGAGGUAAAACUCCUAUGAAAAUGUGGUCUGGAAAGCAUGCACAAGACUAUGAUUCCCUUCGUAUAUUCGAGUGUUCAGCUUAUUAUCAUGUCAAAGAUGGUAAAAUGGAUCCUCGUGCUAGUAAAGCUAUCUUUGUAGGAUUCAAAGGUGGAGUAAAGAGCUUUAAGCUUUGGGAUCUCGAAGACAAAAAGUUUGUGUGUAAAAGAGAUGUCACAUUUGAUGAAGCUUCAAUGAUGAAAGCUUUAAAUUCUCAACAGGUGGAGAAUAAGACCAAAGAGGUAUUACAGUGGGUGGAGUUUGAUGCAACUCCAUAUGUACCAGUUAGUUCUACAUUAAAUAAGGGUUCAUGUAACAUAUGCACUUUGAUUUUUCUUAAUUAAGUGUAUGAUUUAAUUUUUCCUCUUCGUUAUUAAUUUUAAAAUUUGUCACGACAUUAAAUCGAGAUAAUUUGAGUGCGAUUAAAAGUUCGAAUAGUUGGAUUUUAUUUUCGUCACGGGUUCGGUAUUAGUUUAAUUUGUAUUAAGCUUAAGAAAAAAAAAGGAAGAAGAAGUCGGUUUUUUUAUAUGGAAAGGGGGGGAAACUAUUUUUAGAAAGGAAGGAGAGAGAGGAGGCACGAGAGAGAGAGAGAGUGAGUGUUUGACCCGAUUUUUGACCCGCAAACCCGACCCGACCCGCGACAUUGACCCGGACGGAUCUCCCGAUUCCGGCCACCUCACCGGCCGAGCUUGGUACCGAUCUGAAGCUUGGAAGUCGACCGUCAUAACCCCGCCGUCCUCGUCACCGGAAACCAACCAAAACGCUGGCGAUUAAGCUCGAAAACUCGCGGCCAAGGCCCGUUUUCGCCGCCGUCGAUUUUGCCAGAGUUUGGGCACACUUCCAACUGGUUUCUACUCCUCACGUUACCAGCAUCAUUUUCCGACCAACCUCGUCACCCGAAACGGCCGGAUUACCGCCGAUCAGCCACUUGGAAAGCUUACGGCCUGGGAAGCUUGAUCCGCCGCCGGCACCGCGCGUGGGGACUCACGGCCACCACCAUUAGACUCACCGAGGUCUAAACUAUCAGACCUAAGCUUCCCGUUGUCGUUGACUGAAGUCCGGUCACCGUUUACCGGCAGGGGCAAUUCGGUAAAUUCAUAAAACUUUAGGGUGAAUUUAUAAUUUAUGGAAUCAGUGGAUAAUUUGGUAAUUUUAAGUUAGGGCAGUGAGGUAAUUUGAGAUUUCGAGGGUAAUUCGGUAAUUUAAGUCGUUAAGGACAUUUUGGUAAAUUUAUGCUCCGAGGGUAAUUUCGUAAUUUCUGACAUUGUGGUUAUUUAUGUGAUCUAAAUUGAGGACCAUUUAGUAAUUGAAGAUUCUGAGGAUAAUUUGGUAAAAUAAUGAUGUUGGGGGUAUUUGAUAGAUAUUCGUUUCCAGAUUUAUUAUAUAAAAUUAGUUGUAUUUCAAGUUUACGGAGAAUGAUUAUGGCGUUUCCUUGAUUAGGAGGAUCUGCGAACGAGAAUCAAACCGCAGACGUUGUUGAUACCAAGUCUGGACAUCAUCACUGUGAGUGGAAUAUGCAAAAUCUAUUUUCAUAGUAUGUGCUGAUUUUAUGAUACAGUGCAUUAUGUUUUGAUAAAUAAGUAUUUGAUGCUUCGAUUUAAUGAUUUUCUAGAAAAUUGAUUUUUAUCUAUGUGUUGAUAUUUAUUGUUACUAAGAAUGAGUUUGAUUAGUGAUUUUAUGCAUGAUAUUAGAAUUGAGCAGAUUUGAGAUAUGUUGCAUAGAAAGAAAAUGAGAUUUCAGAUGUGAUUAUAUGUUUAUGUACAUGAGUAUAAAUGUUGUUUGGAAAAUCAUUGGACAGUACCCUUUCCCUCUAGAUACAGAGAUACAGAUAAUAUGAGAUGAAUACAGAGAUACAGAUGAGAUGAGAUAGACGCCUUUGGGGCCCGUCUGAACACACAUAGAGGCUUUGGGCCGUGUGUUUGGGCGCUUUUGCCUUUUGGGGGCUUAUGCAUGCAGUAUGAUGAUUACAAAAAUACAGAUGUUGAGAUACAUGAGAUAUGAGAUGAGAUUUUCCCCAUCUAUCUGUUGUAGCUCCGGGGCAUGAUGGUUCCCUGAUUGCCCGUCCGUCGAGGUCCGGAUAUGAUGAGAUCAUUCCUCUGGGUACUUGUUUGAUGAUAGUUUUUGGUAUUCAGUAUUUGAUAUGAUAAGUAUUAUGAUUCCAUCGAUUCUAUGUAGAUUUAUGUAAUAUAGAAUUUCAGUGAUUGAUUUGAAUUAAAUAAGUUUAUGUAAGUUCUUAUGAUAUUUUGAUGAAAUUGAUUUGAGAAAUUGAUUUGGGAAAGAUUAAGUCAUUUUAAAUAAAUUUAUUUAUUUUUCCAAAAACUAUUAUCCAAUCACUGAGCUCACUGAGUUUUAUACUCACCCCGUUUUUAUUAUAUUUUUCCCCCCACAGGAGAUUUGCAGGUACAUCAGUUGACCCAGUAACGAAUGUUAGUUUUGAAAUUGUGGCCACGUGAUGGUGCUAAGAGUCGUAGAUUUAACAAUUUUGAUUUAUUAUAUUUUGUAAUUAAGGAUAACCUAUGUAUUUUAAUAUUAGAAUGAUUUUGAUGAAAUUUGAUAUGUUGACUUGAGAAGUUGGUUAUGAGAGUUGGAUGGAUAUUGAAUUAUUUUUGGGAGUAUGGUUUUGUAAAUUGCAGGUUUGGGGAUGUUUUAUUUAUAAGGGAGAUUCUGCCGAAUUUUUAAUAGAAUUCUUAGAUAUCAUAAAUAAUAUUGAUUUGAUUAUACGAGUUUAGAUAGACUCGCCCUGGGGGUUCGGGGCGGGUCGUUUCAGUUCAAUUAUGGAGGUGACACCUAGAGUUGAAGAAGAGGUUGUUUCUUCUGAUGUCCCACAAAAUGAAGAAAUAAUUGAUGAUGUAGAUAAUGAUGAUUUUAUAGCAACAAGGAGGCCAAGAAGAGAGAUAAAGAAAUCCGGAUAGGUUACUAAAGAUAUGGUGGUAGCCUAUGCACUUCCAGUUAUUGAUGAUGACAUCCCCAACACUUUCGGUGAAGCAUUACGCAGCAGUGCAAGUGAUCAGUGGAAGUUAGCCAUGGAGGAAGAGAUGAAAUCUCUCCAUCAAAACCAGACUUGGGAACUUGUAAAGUUACCAAAGGGGAAAAAGGUUAUUGGUAAUAAAUAGGUCUACACCAAAAAGCAAGGAUCUCUAAAUCAAUCAACUCCUCGAUACAAGGUAAAGCUCGUGGCAAAAUGUUUUGCUCAGAAGGAAGAUAUUGACUACAAUGAAGUUUUCUCUUCAGUUGUAAAACAUACUUCCAUUCGUAUCCUACUUGCCUUAGUUGCAGAAUAUGAGUUAGAGUUGGCUCAAUUGGAUGUUAAGACGGUGUUCUUAUAUGGAGAUUUGGAGGAAGAAAUGUAUAUGAUUCAGCCUUGUGGUUUCAGAGUUGCUGGAAAGGAGAAUCAUGUAUGUAGGUUGAUUAAAUCUUUGUACGGACUGAAGCAAUCGCCAAGGCAGUGGUACAAAAGAUUUGAUCAAUUUAUACAAGGGCAGAAUUCACUAGAAGUGAACACGAUCAUUGUGUUUACUUUAGAAGACUACUAGAUGGAGCUUUCAUCUAUUUGUUACUCUAUGUCGACGAUAUGCUUAUAGCUUCAAAGAAUGGAGAUGAGAUCAAAAGAUUAAAAAAGCAGUUGGCUUCUGAGUUCGAGAUGAAAGACUUGAGUGAUGCACAUAGAAUACUUGGGAUGGAGAUUCGUAGAGACAAGAAGAAUGGGAGCGUAUGGUUGACUCAAAAGUCUUAUUUGAAGAAAGUGCUAGAAAGAUUUGGUAUGGAUGACAAAACUAAACCGGUAUGUACACCUCUAGCUCCUCAUUUCAAAUUAAGCUCUUCUUCAUGUCCUAGAUCUCAAGAGGAGUCAGAGUUGCUGGAAAGGAGAAUCAUGUGUGUAGGUUGAUUAAAUCUUUGUACGAACUGAAGCAAUUACCAAGGCAGUGGUACAAAAAAUUUGAUCAAUUUAUACAAGGGCAGAAAUUCACCAGAAGUGAACACGAUCAUUGUGUUUACUUUAGAAGACUACUAGAUGGAGCUUUCAUCUAUUUGUUACUCUAUGUCGACGAUAUGCUUAUAGCUUCGAAGAAUAUAGAUGAGAUCGAAAGAUUAAAGAAGCAGCUGGCUUCUGAGUUCGAGAUGAAAGACUUGGGUGAUGCACAGAGAAUACUUGGGAUGGAGAUUCGUAGAAACAAAAAGAAUGGGAGCGUAUGGUUGACUCAAAAGUCUUAUUUGAAGAAAGUGCUAGAAAGAUUCGGUAUGGAUGACAAAACUAAACCGGUAUGUACACCUCUAACUCCUCAUUUCAAAUUAAGCUUUUCUUCAUGUCCUAGAUCUCAAGAGGAGCGCGAUUACAUGGCUUGUGUUCCAUAUGCUAGUGCUGUGGGUAGUCUUAUGUAUGCUAUGGUAUGCAAAAGGUCUGAUAUAUCUCAAGCAGUGAGCAUGGUUAGUAUAUACAUACACAAUCUGGGUAAAAAUCAAUGGCUUGCGGUAAAGUGGAUUCUCCGAUAUCUGUAUGGGACAGUUGAUGUUUGGUUAUUGUUCAAGAAGGAUUGUGGUCAACAAUGUGUUGGGUAUUGUGAUUCUGAUUUCACUGGAGACCUUGACAAGCGAAGAUCAACAAUGGGCUACGUAUUCACAUUGGGUGGAGGAUCGAUUAGCUGGAGGUCGAUUCUACAAUCGACAAUUGCUUUGUCCACUACGGAAGCAGAGUAUAUGGCAGCAACUGAAGCUGUAAAAGAAGCUAUCUGGUUGAAAGGCUUGUUAGGUGAUUUGAGAGUAAUCCAAGAAAACAUUGUGGUCUUUUGUGAUAACCAAAGUGCGAUAUUCCUAGCGAAGAAUCAAACAUAUCACGCUCGGACAAAGCACAUAGAUGUGAAAUAUCAUUAUGUGAGGGAGAUUAUCGAAGGUGGUGAUGUGUUGUUGAAGAAGAUCGAUACAAAAGAUAAUCCAUAAGAUAUGUUGACGAAGGUAGUUUCUGGAGUUAAGUUUCAACAUUGCUUGAAACUAAUUCAAAUCCUUCGCUUGUGUUAAGAUAUGUCCUUCGGGAAUUUUGAACUACGGUUGGCUUGAUCCCAAAUUUUGGGUACGUAGGCAGUCACAGAGAUGCAGCCACCUUAGGGAUGAUGGUUCAUUGGUAGUCGGCUUAGAUUUGGACAAAUUUUCGCCGAGGUGGAGAAUUAUUGAAAAAUCAUGCACGUGGCAUGCAAAUUCAAGAAAGCAUGCAAUUUUUCAAAGAGCUACCAAACAAUUGAAGAAAAAAUGAAAAGUUGGUAAAUUUGUCAAAUUUGCCAAAUGGACACCAUUGACAUAUUUGCAUGGGUUAGGUGGAAUAGUGAUUGGGUUAGGUGGAAUAGUACUAGCUUCAAGCCUAUAAAUAGAGAGCAUUUCUUCAUUCCAUAUCAUCCCAAAAUUGUUAAGCUUAUAAGUUUUUAAGCUUUUGAGAGAAGUGAGAGAAGUGUGUCUGGGGAAUUUAUCUUUCCUACAGAGUGUGAGAGUACUGGGUAUAUUUGAGUUUCUGGGAAGUGAGAUUCGUUACUCAAAUAUUUAUACUCUAUUAAUUGUUAAUAAUACAAUUAUUCUUUCUUGCCUCCGUGGAUGUAGGUUUAAUUACUGAACCACGUAAUUCUUGUGUCUUUUAUUUUUCUAUAAUUAUUUGGUGCGCUUGAUUCCGCAUUCCGCGCACAACAAUGUUAAUACAAGUUAACGUCUGUAUGAUGUAUCUCACAAAACCAUCAUUCAUAAUCAAUGCCGUAUGUUAGUCAGAGACUGUCUUACAAACCCACCAUGAAAAUGGCAGCUGAAUGUAACAAUCAAGUGAAUACAUGGCCAAACAAGUUUAACGGGUGUCUAAAAUUCACGAUAAAUGAAUAACAAAACCGGUGAUCAAAGCAAUUCGAGGCCAAAAAUACAUACAUAUAUACAUACAACAGAGAACAGAGUAGAACCGAACGGAACCAAUAAUAUCAAACUGAAACAAAAUCAGAAACAGAACUGAAACAGAGUGUUUCAUAAAAAAAUACAGCAAAAAAGAAAAGAAAAAGAAAAGAAAAGAAGAAUAUGUGAAUGAAUAACAAAAAUACAAGAAUGAUACAUGCAAAGUCUAGUUUUGGGUAUGUAUGUACCUGAAACAGAGAAAAAUUAUGUCACCGGAAGUUGCGCGAAGGUUGAAAUAAAAACAAUUUGAUGUUUCGCUAUCGUUUUGGCCCUGCGUUACAUACCAGUAAAAAUUUGGAUUUUUUUUUCCCUAUUUUUAAUAUUUUAAUGUUAAUUAUUAGUAUUAUAAUAAUAUUAUAUCUUUAUUAUUAAGUAUUGGAUUCGAAUGUCGUGCUCGAAAGGGCAAACAGGAAACGCACGAAGCCAGGGAAAGGAAAUCUGGAGCCCUUUUCCCGAGAGCUUUCUCACGCAACUUCAAUAAUUUUCUAUUUAGUCUUUCUAUAAUUGUUAAUUAAUUAAUAAGUCAAUUUCUUUUUUCUUUUUUUCUUUUUUAACCCAUGCAAAUUAAAAGUUUACGACAAGCAAAAUUAAAUAUUUUACUAUCUAUAUAGAUUUAUAACAACUCCAUACCGUACGUCACCUAAAACAAUUUAAUGAAGCACUUAAUUUGAUCACGAGUCACGAGAUUUUGAUAUAAUUGGAAUAACAAUAAUAAAAAGAAUUACUACUACUUCUAGUUAAAAUAGUUUUAAAAAGUAAAUUUAAUUAUAAUUAAUUCUAUUCUAUGUAGAUGCACUUUAACCCCACUCCCCCACCAUCUCUCAAAUUGGAGAAAAAUUUAUGAGAGACCAUUCUAGUAUGUUCAAAUUUAAACUAAAAUACUGAUAAUAUGAUGUACCCAUCUCAUGUAAAUUUUCUCCUCAAAUAACUUUAGUGACCAAUUGCGUACUAUGUGCAAAUGAAGUAGUCCUUGUGAGAAUUAUAUAUAAUUUCUUCUGUUUUGUUUUGUAAAAAUGUGUUUAUGGCUGGAGAGAUUCUAGAGAGGGCAUCUAAAUGAGAAGUCAAAAGAGGUGAGAAGAUUUUUAUUCAGAGGAUAUAAUUUUAUAUAUAAGAUUCUGUAAACUAGUCUCAUAAAUUAUAAUUUAUUAGUUUGUAUUGCUGCACCAAAUACAUUACAUUUGUGAAUAAAAUUGCUUUAAUUCUCCGUCUCUCACUUCCUUCUAAAUUUGUCUUCAGUUUUUUAAGGAAAAAUAAAAGAAUUUCCAUUUUUUUUUCUUUUUUUAAAAAAAGAUUAUCUUAAUCUCAUUUAUAAAUUUGUUAAAAAAGAAAAAAGAAAAAAGAAAAAAAAAACUCAUUCAUGAUGACAGAGAAUUUGAGAUGGUAGUGCCUACAAAACUAAAAGGCAAAGUUUGUUCAGCAACUGAUAUGACACACACAUGCAUGCCUCAUACCAAUUGUAAAUUAUAUAAUUAUCCAAAAAAAAAAAAUUCUAUGAAAUGAGUUUGUGAUCCACGCUAUACGUUCGCGCAUCUCACCGGACUUGAGACAAUACAAUAACUUUACAAACUAAUUGAUACAUGCCAGAUCACUUGAGGCAAAAAAAAAAAAAAAGAAACUACAAAUACCAAUCGAGCUCACUCAACUCCUUUAGUUUUCCGCUGCCGAGGAUGUCGACAUUCCUGAACGAUUGCUCUCAGCCAGGUACUUGUAAAAUGCCGACUGAUUGCUCUCAGCCAUGUACUUGUAAAAUGCCGACCAGGAUGAUGGCAGCCCUGAACGACGGUGAUAAGCCACGUCCUUGCGGAGUGCCUCCUGCACGUAUACUUUAAGUUUCUCCUCGUCCAUUUCUGGGGUGGAAGCAUAGGGCCAAUGCAAAAAGCGAUCAACCAAUUCUGAGCAAUGAGGGAAGUAUCGUUCACCCGUCUCGACUGCGAUCACAGAAAGUUCAGCAAAUGCUCUAAGAAACUUAUAAACAUCCCAAGUUUUUCUGAAGAAAUGCUAUCGGCAUUAAGUCUGUUUUCCAUUUUUUAUUAUUUCAGUUCAACAACCGGCAUCUUAAGGAUAUAAAAUACAUUUUGCAAGGGGCAUGGGGCAUGAAAUUCACAAUUUUUAUAACUAAUUAGCCACAAAUGAAAGAACUGAAGAGUCUUGGAUCACGAAAUUUAUUCUCAAUACGCUUAGGGCGUGUUUGGUGCAUGGGAUUGUGUGGUAUUAUACCACUAUUCACAUUAGUUUAUUGCCAAAAAGAUGUUUGGUAAAAUUUGAGACCUUAUUAUACUGCAUUAUAAUACAGCAUAAUGAGGCAUGGGGCCGCAUUACGCAAACCCGACGGGUUUGCGUAAUGCGGAAGCUUUUUGCCUCAAUUGAGGCAACAGUUAAUGCCUCAAUUGAGGCAAAUUUAUUUUAUUAAAAUAUUAUAAAAAUAAAUUAUUUUAUUAUUAAAUACUAAUAUAAUGAAUAAAAUAUAAAAAUAAAUUAUAUGAUAAUAUUAUUUUAUUUAUUAAUGAUUCAUAUAAAAAUAAUAUAUUAAUAUUAUAAUAUUAUUUACAUUAAUAUUAAUUUUAAAAUUAAUAUUAUUUAAAUUUAUGCAAAUUUAAAUAUUUAUAAUUAUUUAUAUUAAAUUAAAAAUUUAUUAAUAUAUUAAAAUGUAAAAAUAAUAAUAUAUUGUAAAUUAAAAUAUAAUUUAAUAUUAUUGAAUAAUAAUUUAUUAAUUUAUAUUAACAAUUAUAAUAUUAAUUAUAAUCUAAAUUUAUUAUUUACAUAUAAUAUUAAAUUUUAUAAAAUUUUUUAUCAUAAUUAUAAUACAAAUUUUAAGAUUUCUAUAUUUAUUAUUUUUCUAAGUAUUAAUAUAUAUUAUUUUUUAAUUAUUUAAUUUAAUUAAUCAAACAUUCUAUGUUUAUGUUUGUAUCUAGAAGACUCUAUUAGUAUUUUUUUUAAAUCAUGUAAGAAGGAUUGUAAGAUUUAUUUGCUUAUGAGGAAGUAUUGCUCUAUGCUGAUAUGCUGAAUAAUUAGUUGUGCAUAGUUUAUGAUUGAGAAUGAAUUUUUCAAAAUUUUGUGAAAUACAUGAAAAGAGAAAUUAGAUGACUUUUUGAUAUUUUGGAGAUUUGGAUUUAUAGGCAUUUAGUUUCACUCAGAUUCGAUAUGUUUUCUAAGCCCUAAUUGGGUCUGGGUGUCACACCUUCGGUCAAGAGGUAAAGAGUUGAUCCCGUGAGAUUUAGUGUUUCAGGGGUUAGGCAUUGCUAACUCCUUGAAAGUUUUGAAGGACACUGAUUAUGUAGGCAUACCUGCGACAAAUGUCUUAGUGGUAUAAAGAAAGGUUCUGCCAUUUUGUUGAGAUAUCAAUGUACUAAUAAUUACCCUUUCUCUUUUGAUACAUCUGAUUACACCUAACAUAGCACUAUAAAGAAAUUCCAAUUGGAAGGAGAAACCUGGAUACAUGUAUUAGUUAAUCAUAAAGAUAAUCAGUAAAUAGAAGGGUGCAAAAGUUAAUAAAGUAUAUAAAUACCUGUUUUGAGCAGAGUUAGCAGUCUCAAUUGGCGUCUCUUGGCUUGCAUAGAGGGCGUUUCAUUCAAAUCAAUCUCCUUUAAGUUCCCACUUAGUCCUUUCUGACCUAAUGCUGAAAGGCCAGUGGCGGUAUCUGCACCAGCUAUUUCCAUAGCUACUCUAGCUUCAGAAGGAAAAAACCGUACAAAAGCCACUGCAAAAUAUUAAGAAGCUGUUAUGGCACUCAUCCAGGAUAGGCAUAAAUAUUUUUGUACCUCAUUACUUUUGGAAAACAAAAAACAAAAAAACAAAAAAAAAAAGUUUUUGAUGACAAAGUCUUGUACAAUUAUUCAUCAAAAACCAGUUCGGUGCAAACCACAAAGCCUAGAUCAGAUGGAUUCAGAAUUCUCCAUUCCAAAAAAGGGGAUCAAAUCACAUGACUGGCCAACAGUGUGCCCCAAGCAAUGAGCCCAUGUGUGUUUGAGAUGCUAAAAUGAAGGGACUCACAAACUCUUGAGAAGAUGAUUUACUAUCCCAAACAGUAUCUCUCCCAAACACCGGUCCCCCAGUUUCUGGUGUUGGGUAAUGUAGUGGACCAGCAGUGGAAACUCGAUAGUACUCGCUCGCGUGGGAUUAGAAAAGGCUGCCAAGAGUCAUGUCGCAUUUAAUUGCGGACGAGGUGACGUGGCAGAAAUCCCCCCCUCCAUGUGAAUUUCAAACCGACGGUUAUGAGGCCCUUGGGAUUCGGCGCAGUUAUAUGCUGGCAGCCCAAAAGUCCGUCCUCAUUUGGAAAGCCUAAUCCUCUCGAACGGCAUAUUCACCAUUCACUCCGUCUCCGUCUCCGUCUCUGUUUCUCCGGCAAAGAAGUUCCGGCACGAAGUCCCCAUCCUUGCCUUUCUCCGAUUGAAGCAGUACUUCAGGUAUUACUUCUCUCUCCUCGGUCUCGGAUAGUUUGUAGGUAACUUCUUUUUUCUUUCGUUUGGGUAGUAGUUGGUGGUGUUGUGGUUAGAGUUUAGGGAAUGUCGAAAGGUAAAGGGAAGGUCAUUGAGGUUGAUGACGACGAGUUGGACUUCCUGCCCCUGCUGUACCGUACAUCCGCCUUGGCCGUACAGCAGUCAAUUGGCGUCUCUUGACUUGCAUAGAGGGCGUUUCAUUCAAAUCAAUCUCCUUUAAGUUCCCACUUAGUCCUUUCUGACCUAAUGCUGAAAGGCUAGUGGCGGUAUCUGCACCUGCUAUUUCCAUAGCUACUCUCGCUUCAGAAGGAAACAACCGUACAAAAGCCACUGCAAAAUAUUAAGAAGCUGUUAUGGCAGUCAUCCAGGAUAGGCAUAAAUUUUUUGGUAGCUCAUUACUUUUUGGGAAAAAAAAAAAAGAUUUUUAUUACAAAGUCUUGUACAAUUAUUCAUCAAAAACCAGUUCGGUGCAAACCACAAAGCCUAGAUCAGAUGGAUUCAGAAUUCUCCAUUCCAAAAAAGGGGAUCAAAUCACAUGACUGGCCAACAGUGUGCCCCAAGCAAUGAGCCCAUGUGUGUUUGAGAUGCUAAAAUGAAGGGACUCACAAACUCUUGAGAAGAUGAUUUACUAAUACCAGUAAAGGAAUAUCACCUCUAUUUUCCAUAUGAAGGGACAAACAAACAGUACAAAGAAGUGUGCUAUGCACAAACUCUGAGAAGGUGAUGAACUAAUACCAGUAAAGAAAUAUCACCUCUAUUUUCUAGAUAGUCCAGCUCCGCUUGGAAAUGAUCAUCCAUCACCUCUGUUGGCAUUGCCAAGUUCUCAGACAUGGAGUUCCUUCUCAUCUCUCUCUCAAGGACAUCAAUGCAUAACCGGUCUUUGUUAGUUCCCUGCCCCUGCUUUGUAGCUUCAAGAUAAUCCUUUCGCCUUGUCAUUCUCCGACAGAUUGCUACAGCUGUUUGCCCAUCUGAUGUAGUUUCUGAUGCGCAUGCUCCCUUGCUCAGCAGAGUCACCAUCACUUCUGGCUCAUUACGCCUUGCAGCCACAUGAAGCACCGUACGUCCUCUUGCAUCCUUAAGAUUGAGACAAGCCAAGUCCAUAUUGAGCACUUCCUUGAAAACCUUAGGGCUGCAGUAGGCAGCAGCAUAGUGCAGGGCGUAAGCAUCAUCCAGAGUGACACUAGAUACAUCCAGAAGAAGCUUCAACAGUUCAACGUCAUCAGAGUCCAGCGCCUUGUGGAUUCUUCUGACUAUUUUUGCAUGCAUAGGGUCCACUUCUGCUAUAUUAGCUUCAGACUCCUGGUUAGAUUUGACACGGAGUGAUUUGAUUUCACUUGAAACUUCAUCAGGAAGCUCUUUCUCGAGACAAACAUUGUCAAGAUUUGACUUUGCAAUUCUCUGGAUGCAGAAAGAACGGAGGUGGUUCAGUUGGCAAUGCAAGGCAGCCACGAGAAUUGGGAUUACAUCUUCCACAAGAGCCUUCUCAACCAAGUUCAGAAGCCAAAGCUACACGGACAGAUAGAGUUUUGAUUCAGAAUAAUAUAUUCAAAAUUCAGAUACCCCAUAGUGGGUAAUUAUUGAAGCCAAGUCCAUAUUGAGCACUUCCUUGAAAACCUUAGGGCUGCAGUAGGCAGCAGCAUAGUGCAGGGCGUAAGCAUCAUCCAGAGUGACACUAGAUACAUCCAGAAGAAGCUUCAACAGUUCAACGUCAUCAGAGUCCAGCGCCUUGUGGAUUCUUCUGACUAUUUUUGCAUGCAUAGGGUCCACUUCUGCUAUAUUAGCUUCAGACUCCUGGUUAGAUUUGACACGGAGUGAUUUGAUUUCACUUGAAACUUCAUCAGGAAGCUCUUUCUCGAGACAAACAUUGUCAAGAUUUGACUUUGCAAUUCUCUGGAUGCAGAAAGAACGGAGGUGGUUCAGUUGGCAAUGCAAGGCAGCCACGAGAAUUGGGAUUACAUCUUCCACAAGAGCCUUCUCAACCAAGUUCAGAAGCCAAAGCUACACGGACAGAUAGAGUUUUGAUUCAGAAUAAUAUAUUCAAAAUUCAGAUACCCCAUAGUGGGUAAUUAUUGGUAAACAUCGUAAAGCAUAUAAAAAAUGCUACACGGACAGAUAGGGUUUUGAUUCAGAAUAAUAUAUUCAAAAUUCAGAUACCCCAUAGUGGGUAAUUAUUGGUAAACAUCGUAAAGCAUAUAAAAAAUGCUACACGGACAGAUAGGGUUUUGAUUCAGAAUAAUAUAUUCAAAAUUCAGAUACCCCAUAGUGGGUAAUUAUUGGUAAACAUCGUAAAGCAUAUAAAAAAUGCUACACGGACAGAUAGGGUUUUGAUUCAGAAUAAUAUAUUCAAAAUUCAGAUACCCCAUAGUGGGUAAUUAUUGGUAAACAUCGUAAAGCAUAUAAAAAAUGCUACACGGACAGAUAGGGUUUUGAUUCAGAAUAAUAUAUUCAAAAUUCAGAUACCCCAUAGUGGGUAAUUAUUGGUAAACAUCGUAAAGCAUAUAAAAAAUGCUACACGGACAGAUAGGGUUUUGAUUCAGAAUAAUAUAUUCAAAAUUCAAAUACUCAAAGGGGAUAAUCUGUGGAGGAAAAUAAUAAUAAGGGGGAAAAUCAGUGCCAUGCUUAUUGAACCUAAAUGCCGAUGGACCAAUGUUCAGAGACAUAAACUCGGCUACACAAGAUGCUAUUCUACAGCAUUAAUGAUUUGCUAGGUUAUAGACUGGACGGGAAAAAUAGAAUCUCUCGCAUUCACUGUUGAGAGCUUGAAAGCAUGAGAGAACUAACCAUGAAGUGAGUGAAGAAAAUACGGAUAAAACAACCUAAAUAACAGAACAGUCAAGCCAGAGCAUGAACUGACACCUACCCAAAUGAAAAUUGGUUAGAAACUCAACGCAAAAGCUUUUGUGAUAGGAUAGGUGCACUUAUCAAAUUCAGACUCAUUGAUUCUUGGGGGUCAGUGUCAGCAAGCAUUGAUUCCUAGAGUUCGCUGCCCAUCAUCAUCACUUUUGUCUCUUUCAAAAUAAAACAACAGACUCUUGCAAGAUAAGAUGAAGUUUUGGGCUCUACGGUAUCUACACUUCUUAACAAAGCUAAUUUUGGAUCUACUACAAUGCCUAAUAUUGGGAACCACCGGAGUUGCUUCACAACUGAAGUUGAUUUCAAUCCCAUAUAUGUUAAAACUAUACCAAAACAAUCUGCAUUGUAUAGUAUUAUUAUAAUACAAUGUUAAUAUAAUACACAUGCAUUAAAAUAAUAUAAUACAAUACAAUGUGCCAAACGCACUAUAUAAACACUAAUGGUUAAAUGAGAUUUUGAAUUAUUAAAAUAUUCAUAAUUUAAUUUACUGUUAGUGACAAACUUGUACAUAUAUGACAAUUCAAAAAAUAUAUAUACAAACUUACACUCGUUUGACUUAAAAUUAUUUCAUCAUAAAUCCUAGUUGUGUUAAUUUCCCACAUUCAUGAAUGUUCAUUAAUCUCACUUUAUAUUUUUCUUCAUCAAUUGUCAUAAAUAUAUACAAAGUAAAGUAAUGAUUUAAUGAGUUGUGGUCUACAUAGAGUUGUCUAGUUAAUACACAAUUUAAAUACUAUUUUACAAAAAAUAUCAGAAAUUUACAUGUUCAGGUGCUAUGAUGGCCACUGGUACUCACUAGAUCAUCACACUACAAAAUAAUUAAAGGAAAUUUAUUAGUAUAAUCUAUGCUAUUUCUAUUAUGUCGUGGUCCAAAAAUGGCUAGUGAAUAAUGAGGAUGACAAAAUUACAAUAGCCAAUUCCAGCGGCCGUCGAGCAUGAGAAUUUGGGUAUAAAAAUAAUUAGUUUUAAAAAAUUGGUAAUUUACAAAAUUUAAAUUUUCUUUUCUUAAUUAUUAUUAUUAUAGGGGUGCUGUGCGACUUAAGUCACAUUUAUUAUAUUAUAAAUUUAAAAUUUAAUUAUCUACAAUUGAAAAUUUAUUUUACUUCGGGGGAGUAAUUAGCUACAAAUUUUUACAUAAAAAUUCUGUUAAAAAGUUCUGCAUAUAUAUCAUUCGUAUCCAUCCAUUUCUAAUUUCAAUUUCGAUGAAAAUUCUGCAUAUCUAUUUAUUUCGAAGAGCAUUAAUGUCAUCUUAACCAAUUUCUGUAUGAGGGUCAGUACCGUAAAAUACAGGUACAAAUGCCCUUUUUUUUUCCCCCUCUUUUCUCCCCGAAAGAAGUUGCAGAUGACUGAGUUUGCAGAUGAAGAUAUGGAGAUUUUUUUUUAUAUAUAAAAAAAGCUAUAUUAUAAACUGAAUUAAACAGAUAAAAUAAAAAAAUAAUUAACUGACAUAUUUUUUCCCUCUAAAAUUAGAAAAUUCUUUGUCAUUUAGUAUAUAUUACAUGCCAAAUACCUGGGAAAAUACAACAAUGCAAGCUUGAAGUUCCUCUGCUAUUAUACAACAUAAGCCAUAACAUAGGCUCUAAGAGUAUCUCUCUACAAGUAACAAUCAAACUCAGUAAAACUCUCUUAGUCUCCUAGCAAUGAAUAACAAAAGACAAGUAGCUAAGCAUCACCUUUUCCUACCCUUACACUUUACUCCUUCCUUUGGAGAAGAUGACGACGACGAGGAUGACGACAAACCUAAACGAUUUUUCUCAGCCAUGUCCUUGUAAAAUGCCUUCUGUACGUCUUCUUUAAGUUCCAUGAAGCGUGCCCUUUUGAGUCUCUGCUCUUCAGGAGUACCAUUUUCUAGGCAGUAGCGAUAUGCUCACAAAAACGAGCACAAAGGUUUGCACAAAACGGUGCGUUUUGUGCAACCUUUAAAAGACUUCUCAUAAUUUCACAAGACGCGCACGUUACAUUUCAUUCUUCCUUCACUGUAACAGCUCGAUUUUCAUUCUAAAAGGCUCAUUUCAUUGCAACAAAAACGCAGCAGCUUUGUUCUCCACACAGCAACAGCUUCGUUCUCCACACAGCAACAGCUUCGUUCUCGGUUGUCCUCACUCUCUCAGUUCGGUUUUCUCUCAUUCUUGGUGGCUUCAUUCUUCCUCACUCUCUCGGCAUCGAUCUCCCUCAAUCUCUCCCUCAAUCUCUCGAUCUCAGCAGCAGCAUUUUGCCCCAUUUCGGGUACUUCACCUAACCUAACGUGAAACCUUAAUUUUUGUCAUAUUUGCCGAAUUUUGUGAGCCUUUGAGCAAUUAGGUUCUAUUUAGUUCUUGAUUUGUUCUAUUUAAAUUUUACAGAGCAUAUAUUGCAAUUGCCAAUUAAUGUUGAUUGUGUUGUUCAAUUUAUUGCUUUAAUUUAUAAUUAAUUGAAGAUUAAUUAUUUUGCCCCAUUUCGGGUACUUCACCUAGCCUAACGUGGAACCUUAAUUUUUGUCAUAUUUGCCAAAUUUGUGAGCCUUUGAGUAAGUACGUUCUGUUUAGUUAUUGAUUUUUUCUAUUUGAAUUUUAUAGAGCAUAUAUUGCAUUUGCCGAUUAAUGUUGAUUCUGUUGAUUACGAUAAUCUGAAUUUUGUUCGAAUUUUGUUCUUAUCUUGAGUAAUGUGAAAUAUAUUCAGUUGAUUAAUAUAAAAUAUAUUCCUUUUGAACAAAUAAAGACUAUGGAAAAAAGCAUUGAAGAGUUUGAGGAAAUUCAGGAGGACAACUUACUGGAUGAUGAGCCAAUGAUUGGGAUGUCAUUCGAUAGUGAGAUUGAAAUGUAUAAUUAUUACAGAGAAUAUGGUAAAAGAAAAGGGUUUCCAGUUAUGCGAAGAAGUAGUAGUAAGGGCAUUGAUGGGAUGAUACGACCUGCUGUACGGCCAAGGCGGAUGUACGGUACAGCAGAAAACGGUUAGCAAGAAUGAAAAUUUUAAUUGUCAAUCAAUGCAAAUUCAAACCAAAAGAGUGUCUUCUGCUGUACCGUACAUCCGCCUUGGCCGUGAAUGCAAAAAUAGGUUGCAAUGCUAAAUUGGGAGGAGGAUUAGAGGAAGACGGAAAGUGGAGGAUUCGAGUUUUAAAUAUUGAACACAACCAUACAUUGUUGACUCCAACCAAGUCUAAAUUUUUUCGAUGCAAUCGCAGCCUUAGUUCAUAUGCAAAAAAGAAGCUUAAUGUAAAUGAUAGAGCGUGAAUCAGCACCUCAUUAUAGAUUUAGUCUUCUUUAAUGUGUGGAGACAAGAUUCAUGGGAACAUAAUUUUGAAAAAGGAUGUUAUUUGUUUUUGUGCUUAGUUGUUUUCAAUUAUGAUUACUAUGUAGUCUUUUUCAAUUUUGGACAAGAUGAAUGAGUUUAUUGUUGUUUGACCUCCUUUAAUUACUUCAUGUUUUGACAUAAAAAAAAAAAAAAAAUGGAUCAUUCCGGAUGCUUCCGAGUUCUAGUUGCUGAAAAUAUUCACUUCCAAAUAACAAAAAUAACAGUUCAUGAAAAAUUCUUUGAUGAUAGCACAAGUGUAGACUGUGUGGUUAUCCCGUUUACAGCAAUGUCUGAGAUGCUAAGAUGAAGGGACAAACAAACGGUAGAAAGAAGUGUGCUAUGCAGAAACUCUGAGAAGGUGAUGAACUAAUACCAGUAAAGAAAUAUCACCUCUAUUUUCUAGAUAGUUCAGCUUCAUUUGGAAAUCAUCAGCCAUCACCUCUGGUGACAGUGCCACGUUCCAAGACAUGGAGUUCCUUCUCAUCUCUCUCUCAAGGACAUCAAUGCAUAACCGGUCUUUGUUAGUUUCCUGCCUCUGCUUUGUAGCUUCAAUAUAAUCCUUUCGCCUUGUCAUUCUCCGACAGAUUGCUACAGCUGUUUGCCCAUCUGAUGUAGUUUCUGAGGCGCAUGCUCCCUUGCUUAGCAGAGUCACCAGCACUGCUGGCUCCUUACGCCUUGCAGCCACAUGAAGCACCGUAUGACCUCUUGCAUCCUUAAGAUUGAGAUCAGCCAAGCCCAUAUUGAGCACUUCCUUAAAAACCUUAGGGUUUCAGUAGGCAGCAGCAUAGUGCAGAGCGUAGGCAUCAUCUAAAGUGACAUUAGAUUCAUCCAGAAGAAGCUUCAACAGUUCAACGUCAUCAGAGUCCAGUGCCUUGUGGAUUCUUCUGACUCUUUUUUGCAUGCAUAGGAUCCACUUCUGCUAUAUUAACUUCACACUCCUGGCUAGAUUUGACACUGAGUGACUUGAUUUCACAUGAAACUUCAUCAGGAAGCUCUUUCAGGAGACAGACAUCAUCAAGAUUUGACCUUACUACUCUCUGGACACGGUGAGAGCGGAGCGGGUUGAGUUGGCAAUGGAAGGCAGCCACAAGAAUUGGAAUUUCAUCUUCCACAAGGGCCUUCUCAACAAAGUUCAGAAGGCGACGCUGCACGGAUAGAUAAGAGUUUUGAGUUGGAAUACAUUAAGAACAUCAUAAAGCAUAUAUAAGAAUGCUCCUUUCCUUCAAUAUGCUGCUUCAAGGGGGAUAAUGUGGGAAAGAAAAACUUAACAAGGAGAAAAAUAAUGCCAUUGCCAACUAUAACUUUCUAUUUAUUCUUUGUAUAAUUGUUAAUUAAUUAAUAAGUCAAUUUCUUUUUUCUUUUUUCCUUUUUUAACCCACGUAAACUAAAAUUUUAGGACAAGCAAAAUUAAAUAUUAUACUAUUUAAAUAGAUUUAUAAAAACUCCAUACCAUACGUCGCUUAAAAAAAUUAAUGAACUACUUAAUUUGAUCACCAGUCACUUGAUUUUGAUAUAAUUGGAAUAACACUAAUAAAAAGAAUAACUGCUACUUUUAGUUAAAAUAGUUAAAAAAUAAAUUUUAUUUUAAAUUAAUUCUAUGUAAAUGCACUUUAACCCAAUUCCCACUAUCUCUCAAAUUGGAGAAAAAUUUAUGAGAGACCAUUCUAGGAAAACUCGUACAAGGAACGUAUGUUCAAAAUUAGACAAAAAUACUGAUAAUGUGAUGUACCUAUCUCAUGUAAAUUUUCUUCUCAAAUAACUUUAAUGGCCAAUUAUGUAUUAUGUACAAAAGAAAUGGUCCUUAUGAACAAUUAUAUAUAAUUUUUUCUGUUUUGUUUAAUAAAAAUGUGUUUACCGUUGGAGAAGUUCUAGAAAGGGCAUCUAAAUGAGAAGCAAAAAGAGGUGUGAAGAUUUUUAAUUAGGGGAUAUAAUUUCAUAUGUAAGAGUCUGUAAACUAAUCUCAUAAAUUAUAAUUUAUUAGUUUCUGUUACUGCACCAAACACAUUAUAUUUAUGAAUAUAAUUGCUUUAUUUCUCCAUCUCUCAAUACUUUCUAAACUUUUCUUCAUUUUUUUAAGGAAAAAAAAAUCUCCAGUUUUCUUUUUUUUUUUUUUAAAAAAAAGAUUAUCUUAAUCUCAUUUAUGAUUUUCUUAAAAAAAAGAAAAAAAAAACUCAUUUAUGAUAAUAGAAAAUUUGAGAUAGUAAUGCCUACAAAAUUAAAAGGCAAAGUUUGUUCAGCAGCUGAUAUUGACAUACACAUGCAUGCCUCAUACCAAUUGUAAUACAAUUCUUUUUCUCUAAUUUUUUGAGCAUAGCCUGUAAAUUAUAUAAUUUUACAAAAAAAUAUUAUAUGAAAUGAGUUUUUGAUCCAUACUAACGUUUGCGUGUCCCACUGGACAUGAGACAAUACAAUAAUUUAACUAAUUGAUACAUGCCAGAUCACCAGAGGAAAAAGAACUACAAAUACCAAUCGAGCUCACUAAAUUCUUUUAGUUUCCCAGGUGCCAAAUAUACCAAUCGACAUACCUGAACGAUUGCUCUCAGCCGCCAAGUACUUGUAAAAUGCCGACCAGGAUGAUGGCAGCCCUGAAUGACGGUGAUAAGCCACGUCCUUGCACAGUGCCUCCUGCAUGUCUUCUUUAAGUUUCAUGAAGUAUGCCCUUCUGAGUAUCUGCUCUUCAGGAGUACCCUUUUCUAGGAGGGAAGCAUCGGACCAAUCACAAUACAAAAACUCAUCAACCACUUCUGAGCAAUGAUAGCAAUCAAUAAACUCAACAACCACUUCUGAGCAAUGAGGGAAGUAGAGGUGACCUGUCUCGACUGCAAUCACAGAAAGUUCAGCAAAUGCUCUAAGAAAAUUAUAAACAUCCCAAGUUUUUCUUAAGAAAUGCUAUCGGCAUUAAGUCUGUUUUCCAUUUUUUAUUAUUUCAGUUCAACAACUGGCAACUUAAGGAUAUAAAAUACAUUUUGCAAGGGGCAUGGAGCAUGAAAUUCACAAAUUUUAUAACUAAUUAGCCAAAAAUGAAAGAACUGAAGAGUCUUGGAUUACGGAAUUUAUUCUCAAUAGGCUUAGGGUUCUCUUAUCCACAGAUGUCUAGCUGCGGAAAACAUGGCACAAUCAAGUCCUGUCUCCAAAUAACAAGAUCCCAGAUGUCUGACUGCGGGUAAACAUAAGAACCCUUAUGUAAUGCUCCCAUCCUUUUUUGCUUUAAAUGAAUUUACUUAGUUUUGUUUCAAUGAAAGCUUUAUUUAUUCCUUAUUUUAUUGAAUUAAGUACUCCUAAAAUUUGAAACUUGAUUUGAAUUUGCUUUAAAAGAGAUUUUAUAACUGCUAUUACCCUUUUCCCACAACUGCCAAUUUUAACUUCCCAAUAACCUCCCUUUAAAAUCAAACUAAUAUAUAACUUUCUGUUUAAAGAAGCAAAAUUUACGUUCCACACAGCUUCUGUCUGAAACGUUUGUGUUUUAUAUAAAUCCUGACUGCGUUAGAAAAAUUACUUUGUUUCAUUUGAAAGGUUAAAUGAAUUUUCUGAAAAUAUUGCACAAAGAAUUCUUUUUGUUCGUUAUGAAUGUUUCUCCUGAUUGAGUUAACAGCUGACUCCUUGUCAAUUAUUUUUCACAGAUGGUUGCAAUUAUUAAUUUGAAGAAUGCUUCGGAAGGAUUGAGCUUUCGUAAGGUUUCUGGCUAGAUGUCAAUCAAUAAACUCAACAACCACUUCUGAGCAAUGAGGGAAGUAGAGGUGACCUGUCUCGACUGCAAUCACAGAAAGUUCAGCAAAUGCUCUAAGAAAAUUAUAAACAUCCCAAGUUUUUCUUAAGAAAUGCUAUCGACAUUAAGUAUGUCUUCUAUAUUUUAUUAUUUCAGUUCAUCCACGGGCAUCUUAAGGAUAUAAACUACAUUUUGCAAGGGGCAUGGGGCAUGUAAUUCACAAAUUUUAUAACUAAUUAGCAACAAAUGAAAGAACUGAAGAGUCUUGGAUUACAGAAUUUAUUCUCAAUAGGCUUAGGGUUCUCUUAUCCACAGAUGUCUAGCUGCGGAAAACAUGGCACAAUCAAGUCCUGUCUCCAAAUAACAAGAUCCCAGAUGUCUGACUGCGGGUAAACAUAAGAACCCUUAUGUAAUGCUCCCAUCCUUUUUUGCUUUAAAUGAAUUUACUUAGUUUUGUUUCAAUGAAAGCUUUAUUUAUUCCUUAUUUUAUUGAAUUAAGUACUCCUAAAAUUUGAAACUUGAUUUGAAUUUGCUUUAAAAGAGAUUUUAUAACUGCUAUUACCCUUUUCCCACAACUGCCAAUUUUAACUUCCCAAUAACCUCCCUUUAAAAUCAAACUAAUAUAUAACUUUCUGUUUAAAGAAGCAAAAUUUACAUUCCACACAGCUUCUGUCUGAAACGUUUGUGUUUUAUAUAAAUCCUGACUGCGUUAGAAAAAUUACUCUGUUUCAUUUGAAAGGUUAAAUGAAUUUUCUGAAAAUAUUGCACAAAUAAUUCUUUUUGUUCGUUACGAAUGUUUCUACUGAUUGAGUUCAUAGUUGACUCCUUAUCAAUUAUUUUUCACAGAUGGUAGCAAUUAUUAAUUUGAAGAAUGCUUCGGAAGGAUUGAGCUUUCGUAGGGUUUCUGGCUAGAUGUUUUUAAUAAUUAGUCGUAUGUAUUACUGAUUGAAGCUUGUGUUUUGGCAUAGUUUUAAACAGUUGAAUUCUGUUUAUGUUUGUAUCUAGAAGACUUCUAUUAGUAUUUUUUUCAAAUCAUGUAAGAAGGAUUGUAAGAUUUAUUUGCUUAUGAGGAAGUAUUGCUCUAUACUGAUAUGCUGAAUAAUUAGCUGUGCAUAGUUUAUGAUUGAGAAUGAAUUUUUCAAAAUUUUGUGAAAUACAUGAAAAGAGAAAGUAGAUGAAUUUUUGAUAUUUUGGAGAUUUGGAUUUACAGGCAUUUAGUUUCACUCAGAUUCGAUAUGUGUUCUAAGCCCUAAUUGGGUCUGGGUGUCACACCUUCGGUCUAGAGGUAAAGAGUUGAUCCCGUGAGAUUUAGUGUUUCAGGGGCUAGGCAUUGCUAACUCCUUGAAAGUUUUGAAGGACACUGAUUAUGUAGGCAUACCUGCAACAAAAGUCUGAACUGGUAUAAAGAAAGGUUCUACCAUUUUGUUGAGAUAUCAAUGUACUAACAAUUACCCUUUCUCUUUUGAUACAUCUGAUUACACCUAACAGAGCACUAUAAAGAAAUUCCAAUUGGAAGGAGAAACCUGGAUACAUGUAUUAGUUAAUUAUAAAGAUAAUCA